GGACAUACCUCUGGUGUACCAGUUGUCGUGCCAACGGCAUAGCUGGGUAGCUAUGUGUGGACGGGAUAAGUGCUGAAAGCAUCUAAGCAUGAAGCCCCCCUCAAGAUGAGAUUUCCCAACUUCGGUUAUAAGAUCCCUCAAAGAUGAUGAGGUUAAUAGGUUCGAGGUGGAAGCAUGGUGACAUGUGGAGCUGACGAAUACUAAUCGAUCGAAGACUUAAUCAA
rnacentral:rRNA from 1 species